CGCGUAGGCGGAUGGUUAAGUCUGAUGUGAAAGCCCCCGGCUCAACCGGGGAGGGCCAUUGGAACCUGGAAGGCUUGAGUACAGAAGAGAAGAGUGGAAUUCCACGUGUAGCGGUGAAAUGCGUAGAGAUGUGGAGGAACACCAGUGGCGGAGGCGACUCUUUGGUCUGUAACUGACGCUGAGGCGCGAAAGCGUGGGGAGCAAACAGGAUUAGAUACCCUCGUA
rnacentral:rRNA from 1 species